rnacentral:lncRNA from 10 species
AGAUUCACGUGGAGCAAGGGGCUCAUGCAGAAGCAGUUCCCGGACCCGACACUCUGGGUAGGAGACCACUAAACCCGGCCCCUCAAAGCAGAGGUGACCUUGCCCUCAUCGAGAGCGCACACAAGACGCCACUGUAAAAGGUCCAAGCGGCUGCCCUGGGGCUUGACAUUGAAGGCGGCGCCCACGGGAGACCAGCUGGUGCUGACCCUUCGGGCCCGGAUCCCGGCUUCGAGGCUUCCCCGGCCCGCCCGGCGGGGCGGCAGAGCUGCUGCUCUGGCUCCCAAGCCGCCCAGCCUUCCGACGCACAGCAUUCUAGCACCAGAGCAGUCCCUUCCUCCAACGCAGAUCCCUGCCCUGCUGCUUUCGCUGGGAGCGCGCGCUCCGCGUUUCCAAGGCAGCAGCCCACGCCGCCCCACGUGACGGCCCCGCUUCCGGGUCUGGGCGCGGCCUCAGGACGUGGGCACGUUGUCGUCCAGAGAGCAAGAGCGUCGCUCCCCCUCGCCUUCUCGGCCGCCCUCCCGGUUUACCGCCCCCUGUGUCCAGAGAUCACAGAUGGAGAGACAUUUUGCCACACGAUGAAUCACACACCACAUCUCAUCCCCGAGCUUCAGCUGCAGGACAAUGCUGCCAGAGGCCUGGUCCUCAGAGCUCACGUAAGCAUCUCUGGUGUGCAGUAUUUUUACUCCGUUUUUGACCAAAGACACCUGAACAUUCCUGGAGAAAACAGUGAUGUGGAUCUUAUCAAAUUUAAUGGGCACAUCUGAAGAAGGAAACUUGCUCAGCACCGUGAGCCCCACAGUGAAAGCACUUUUUGGCAAGACUAGAGUCUCACCGAUUUUCCCUUUCUCUCCUCGAUCUCCUUUCCAGCCUCUUAUUCCCCGGACUCCUGGCUCACCCUGGGGCCCCGUGGGUCCAGCUUCUCCCUUGGGACCAGGCUUUCCAAUAGGGCCCAUGGGGCCCGGUAAACCAGUUGGGCCCAAAGGCCCAAUGUUGCCCCUUGGCCCCUCAGGACCAGUGGGACCCACGUCACCCUUAUUCCCCUUCUGCCCCUGAGGCCCAGUCUCUCCUCGGAGGCCUUUCUCUCCCAUGGGCCCUGCAAGCCCCUUGGGGCCAUGUUUUCCUGGGGAUCCUCUUGAGCCUUGAUCACCUUUGAUGCCUUUUGCUUCAACUUUUCCAUCUGCUCCUAAAUAGAGAAAGAGCAA